CCUACGGGAGGCAGCAGUGAGGAAUAUUGGUCAAUGGACGAGAGUCUGAACCAGCCAAGUAGCGUGAAGGAUGACUGCCCUAUGGGUUGUAAACUUCUUUUAUAUGGGAAUAAAACGUUCCACGUGUGGGAUUUUGUAUGUACCAUAUGAAUAAGGAUCGGCUAACUCCGUGCCAGCAGCCGCGGUAAUACGGAGGAUCCGAGCGUUAUCCGGAUUUAUUGGGUUUAAAGGGAGCGUAGGUUGAUUGUUAAGUCAGUUGUGAAAGUUUGCGGCUCAACCGUAAAAUUGCAGUUGAAACUGGCAGUCUUGAGUACAGUAGAGGUGGGCGGAAUUCGUGGUGUAGCGGUGAAAUGCUUAGAUAUCACGAAGAACUCCGAUUGCGAAGGCAGUUCACUGGACUGCAACUGACACUGAGGCUCGAAAGUGUGGGUAUCAAACAGGAUUAGAUACCCCUGUAGUC
rnacentral:rRNA from 1 species